rnacentral:rRNA from 1 species
CCUACGGGAGGCAGCAGUGGGGAAUAUUGCACAAUGGGGGAAACCCUGAUGCAGCGACGCCGCGUGAGUGAAGAAGUAUUUCGGUAUGUAAAGCUCUAUCAGCAGGGAAGAAAAUGACGGUACCUGACUAAGAAGCCCCGGCUAACUACGUGCCAGCAGCCGCGGUAAUACGUAGGGGGCAAGCGUUAUCCGGAUUUACUGGGUGUAAAGGGAGCGUAGACGGCGGAACAAGUCAGAAGUGAAAACCCGGGGCUCAACCCUGGGAGUGCUUUUGAAACUGUUUGGCUGGAGUGCAGGAGAGGUAAGCGGAAUUCCUAGUGUAGCGGUGAAAUGCGUAGAGAUUAGGAGGAACUCCGAUUGCGAAGGCAGCUUACUAAACUGCCACUGACAUUGAUGCUCGAAAGUGUGGGUAUCAAACAGGAUUAGAUACCCGAGUAGUC